rnacentral:piRNA from 1 species
UGAUAAUCAAGUAGACAGCUUAUUUAGGAA